GGGUUGUGAGGUUAAGCGACUAAGCGUACACGGUGGAUGCCCUGGCAGUCAGAGGCGAUGAAGGACGUGCUAAUCUGCGAUAAGCGCCGGUAAGGUGAUAUGAACCGUUAUAACCGGCGAUUUCCGAAUGGGGAAACCCAGUGUGAUUCGUCACACUAUCAUUAACUGAAUCCAUAGGUUAAUGAGGCGAACCGGGGGAACUGAAACAUCUAAGUACCCCGAGGAAAAGAAAUCAACCGAGAUUCCCCCAGUAGCGGCGAGCGAACGGGGAGGAGCCCAGAGCCUGAAUCAGCAUGUGUGUUAGUGGAAGCGUCUGGAAAGGCGCGCGAUACAGGGUGACAGCCCCGUACACAAAAGCGCAUGUGCUGUGAGCUCGAUGAGUAGGGCGGGACACGUGGUAUCCUGUCUGAAUAUGGGGGGACCAUCCUCCAAGGCUAAAUACUCCUGACUGACCGAUAGUGAACCAGUACCGUGAGGGAAAGGCGAAAAGAACCCCGGCGAGGGGAGUGAAAAAGAACCUGAAACCGUGUACGUACAAGCAGUGGGAGCACAGGUUUACCUGUGUGACUGCGUACCUUUUGUAUAAUGGGUCAGCGACUUAUAUUCUGUAGCAAGGUUAACCGUAUAGGGGAGCCGGAGGGAAACCGAGUCUUAAUUGGGCGUUAAGUUGCAGGGUAUAGACCCGAAACCCGGUGAUCUAGCCAUGGGCAGGUUGAAGGUUGGGUAACACUAACUGGAGGACCGAACCGACUAAUGUUGAAAAAUUAGCGGAUGACCUGUGGCUGGGGGUGAAAGGCCAAUCAAACCGGGAGAUAGCUGGUUCUCCCCGAAAGCUAUUUAGGUAGCGCCUCGUGAAUUCAUCUCCGGGGGUAGAGCACUGUUUCGGCUAGGGGGCCAUCCCGGCUUACCAACCCGAUGCAAACUGCGAAUACCGGAGAAUGUUAUCACGGGAGACACACGGCGGGUGCUAACGUCCGUCGUGAAGAGGGAAACAACCCAGACCGCCAGCUAAGGUCCCAAAGUCAUGGUUAAGUGGGAAACGAUGUGGGAAGGCCCAGACAGCCAGGAUGUUGGCUUAGAAGCAGCCAUCAUUUAAAGAAAGCGUAAUAGCUCACUGGUCGAGUCGGCCUGCGCGGAAGAUGUAACGGGGCUAAACCAUGCACCGAAGCUGCGGCAGCGAACGUAUCACCCAAGACAACUUUACGGAGUUGACGAUUGACGGAGCGAAGCGACGUCAAAGCGUUCAUUAAAGUCGAGUUGGCUUAGGGAUACGUUCGUUGGGUAGGGGAGCGUUCUGUAAGCCUGUGAAGGUGUGUCGUGAGGCAUGCUGGAGGUAUCAGAAGUGCGAAUGCUGACAUAAGUAACGAUAAAGCGGGUGAAAAGCCCGCUCGCCGGAAGACCAAGGGUUCCUGUCCAACGUUAAUCGGGGCAGGGUGAGUCGACCCCUAAGGCGAGGCCGAAAGGCGUAGUCGAUGGGAAACGGGUUAAUAUUCCCGUACUUGGUGUUACUGCGAAGGGGGGACGGAGAAGGCUAUGUUGGCCGGGCGACGGUUGUCCCGGUUUAAGCGUGUAGGUGUGUGUUCCAGGUAAAUCCGGUUCACUUUAACACUGAGGCGUGACGACGAGGCACUACGGUGCUGAAGCAACAAAUGCCCUGCUUCCAGGAAAAGCCUCUAAGCAUCAGGUAACACGAAAUCGUACCCCAAACCGACACAGGUGGUCAGGUAGAGAAUACCAAGGCGCUUGAGAGAACUCGGGUGAAGGAACUAGGCAAAAUGGUGCCGUAACUUCGGGAGAAGGCACGCUGACACGUAGGUGAAGUGAUUUACUCAUGGAGCUGAAGUCAGUCGAAGAUACCAGCUGGCUGCAACUGUUUAUUAAAAACACAGCACUGUGCAAACACGAAAGUGGACGUAUACGGUGUGACGCCUGCCCGGUGCCGGAAGGUUAAUUGAUGGGGUCAGCGUAAGCGAAGCUCCUGAUCGAAGCCCCGGUAAACGGCGGCCGUAACUAUAACGGUCCUAAGGUAGCGAAAUUCCUUGUCGGGUAAGUUCCGACCUGCACGAAUGGCGUAAUGAUGGCCAGGCUGUCUCCACCCGAGACUCAGUGAAAUUGAACUCGCUGUGAAGAUGCAGUGUACCCGCGGCAAGACGGAAAGACCCCGUGAACCUUUACUAUAGCUUGACACUGAACAUUGAGCCUUGAUGUGUAGGAUAGGUGGGAGGCUUUGAAGUGUGGACGCCAGUCUGCAUGGAGCCGACCUUGAAAUACCACCCUUUAAUGUUUGAUGUUCUAACGUGGACCCGUAAUCCGGGUUGCGGACAGUGUCUGGUGGGUAGUUUGACUGGGGCGGUCUCCUCCUAAAGAGUAACGGAGGAGCACGAAGGUUGGCUAAUCCUGGUCGGACAUCAGGAGGUUAGUGCAAUGGCAUAAGCCAGCUUGACUGCGAGCGUGACGGCGCGAGCAGGUGCGAAAGCAGGUCAUAGUGAUCCGGUGGUUCUGAAUGGAAGGGCCAUCGCUCAACGGAUAAAAGGUACUCCGGGGAUAACAGGCUGAUACCGCCCAAGAGUUCAUAUCGACGGCGGUGUUUGGCACCUCGAUGUCGGCUCAUCACAUCCUGGGGCUGAAGUAGGUCCCAAGGGUAUGGCUGUUCGCCAUUUAAAGUGGUACGCGAGCUGGGUUUAGAACGUCGUGAGACAGUUCGGUCCCUAUCUGCCGUGGGCGCUGGAGAACUGAGGGGGGCUGCUCCUAGUACGAGAGGACCGGAGUGGACGCAUCACUGGUGUUCGGGUUGUCAUGCCAAUGGCACUGCCCGGUAGCUAAAUGCGGAAGAGAUAAGUGCUGAAAGCAUCUAAGCACGAAACUUGCCCCGA
rnacentral:rRNA from 1 species